GAUGCUCAAUGAGUGUGGUUGCUUGUAUGCCUCCGUUCUCAGCAUGUGAAUCUGAUUUGGCCUGGUCCCUGGGAAAGCAAUUAAAGCUGCCAAUGUGGGGCAGUCAGAGGCUCCUGAAGCAGUAAUCCUCCCCCAUUCAUGCCUGAUUUGCGCUGUUUCUUUGCAUCAGGGCAAAUUGCAGCACCAGUGCAAAAUAACAGAGAGCAGCCGUAAAGGCUGGAUGAGGCCGCUGUGAUGUGUUCUGCCAUGCAUUAUCCAUGCAGAGGAAUUCUGCCUCGGGACCAAAUCAAGAAUGGAUCCCUAUCAUCCUUGCUGCCUGGGUGGGAAACGGGCAGCACCUUUCCAGACUGUCUCCUUAGAUGCUGCAAUAGCUUUUCCCAAGCUGUGUUCAGUGAAGAGCGAAGUGGAUCUUCCCACCUCUCCUGUCCUAUCUCAACGGAAGAUUCUGCUUGCCAAAGAAGUUGCCUUGCCCGUGAGCACAGCCUGUGUGCUGUGUGUGAUCUGAGACUGGGCCCUGAGACACCCGGAGGGGAGCUCAGCACUGGGAGGAGGUGAAGGGAGCAAUGCAUCAGUGCUAUCAGCAUGCUCUGCGUCCGCCUUUGGUCUCCACCAGGGAAAGCAGUUAUCCAGACACCAGCCCCGCUUCAGUGAAUUCCUGCUAUAUGGAUGCUUGCUAGCCGGCGUGUUUUCCUGGCCAGGUAAUUUGUGAAGCUCCAGAUUUGUGGCAUCCUUCGGAGAGCAUGGUGGGAAGCAGUGCUUGAUUGCUCUCAUUGCAGCUGUAUCCAGUGGAGCAAUUGCCUCUGCCUCACUGCUGCUCGUGCACCAGCUGCUGAGUUACUCAUCUGCCUCCUGCCUCUGCUCGCUGUGGAACUACAGACACACUGUUCCAUGUCCUUUGAGGCUUGAACGAGCCCAGCUUCCGGAGUGAUCCAGGGCUCUUCCUGAGCAAUUUUCCCUCUUUAUUGCCAUAUACUUCUCCUUAGAUCUUUGGGCUUAUUUGUUAAGCAGAUUUCGUUAGUAUUAAUUUAAUUCCUCGUAUCAAGAUUAUCAAGGAAAAUUGAGUGCAAGCCUAGAAAUGUGUCAGAAGCCCCAUUUCUGCCUCUCUCCCUUGUUCAGUGAUAGUUCUCCGUUGACAACCCAUUUCCAAGGAGCCGUCAGAAAGCUGAUUCUUAAUCCAUUUAACAUGUGCUUUACUGAUAUCGUAUAGCGCUAAUUUUUUAAUCAGAAGGUUGUGAGAUACAAAGUCAAACAUCUUACAACAGCUAAAUAUAUUACGUCUUUGCAGUUACCCUUAUCAACCAAACUUGUAAUCUCAUCAAAGAAUGAAAUCAGAUUUGUCUGACAAGACCUAUUUUCCAUGAAACCGUGUUGCCUGAUGUUAAUUAUAUUCCUCUCCUUUAAUUCUUUAUCAAUUGAAUCCUAUAUCAACUUUUCUGAUUACUUUGCCAGGGACAGAUGUUAACUGGCCUAGAUUCCCUUGUUCACUCUUGUGGCAGUU